rnacentral:misc_RNA from 1 species
UAUUACUUGGUGGAUUCGUAAUACUGUUUGAUAGUAAUAUCGAAGAACCACUGCGAUUGUUUUGUGAGAAGGAGAUGAGAUGAGAGGGGCAUUGUUUAGUGUGAGGUUUAAGGAGAGACAAUGACUGGAGGGUCAUUGGGGAUUCGCUCUGGAAGUUAUGGAUCAUUGGAGAAGCAUUUUCAGCAACAUCAGCAGAACGGUGGUGGUGUUCA